AAUAUGAAAUACACAAGAUUUUGGAUUCACGUGUCCACCGUGGCACCUUACAAUACCUUAUUAGAUGGAAAGGUUAUGGAGUUGAUGAAGAUACUUGGGAAGAUUCAUCUAAUGUUCAUGCAAAAAGAUUAGUUGAUGCUUUUCACAAACGCUAUCCCUCUAAACCAAAGUAAGUGCACCCAGAGGAUGCCCCAUGAGAAGGGGGUACUGUCAGGUAUACUCUAUCAUUCAUGCUGCCGCCGGAACCCACUUCCGGGUUCACGGCGCUUAGCCCCGCCCCUUUCUCUGACGCGGUCCUUCCACGAUACUUAGGAAGACCGCGCCAGAUUCAAAGGGCUGGAUUAUUCACUCAGGUGCUGCAUUGAGAUCAGCUGCUCUACUUGAUGCUACCGGCUCCACUCCUCUCCCGACCUCGGCUUGUAAACAGAUUUCUACCUUCUCCACUUCUCGACCUCGGCUUGUAAAACGGACUUCUACCUUCUCCACUCCCAGACCUCGGCUAGUAAAAACGGACUUCUACCUUCUCCACUCCCAGACCUCGGCUAGUAAAAACGGACUUCCUUAAUCUCCACUUCUAACGCUCAGCUUAUUAAUAGAGACUCCUAAUUUCUCCUCCAUUGGGUGAAUUAACCCUUCCAUUGCCAGAACUGCCUCUAAGUUAAGUAAACCUUUUUGCCAAGGAAACCAAUUCAUAUUAAUUAAUUUAUACAGUAUUUAAAUUUCACUAAAAUUCUCUCUUGUCAAUAAGGGAUUGCUAAUAAGUCUAAUUCUUCCUGCAAAUAUCAAUUUAUUCUAAUUGCAAGCAUGUCCAGCUUCAUUAACUUAAUUUUCAUAAAUCAUUCCAUCUUAAUUAAGUUGGAACUAGCAUUGCAUUUCUUCCCUGCAUGUGUAUUUAAAGAUACAGUCAACCUUGUUCACUUCAAUAUAAAAGGAGGUGAAACUUAUUGUUUCUGCAGUUGAGUUCCAAUUAAAGAAGUAUUACAAAUAAGUAUCACAAUUACCUGUGCUGUGCACUACAGCAGAAAGGCAGCGGGAGAUUAGAGAGGUCAAUGUGUGGCUGAAGUCUUGGUGCAGGAAAGAUAGUAUUGGGUUUUUAGAGCACUGGGCCAAUUUUGCGCUUGGUUACAACCUGUAUAGUCGUGAUGGAUUACACCUAAACGGAAGAGGGUCUGCUGUGCUGGGGACUGGGAUGGCUAGAAGGUUGGAGGAGAUUUUAAACUAGCAGUAGGGGGGAAGGGUCAAAGCAAUCUAGAAAAUGGAGAUAGGAUAGAAAGGAGAUGGGCUUUAGCUCAGUAUAAGGGGGUGGAGAUGGGGGGAGGGGAAAACUCAAAAUAGAGGAGGUAUGUAAUAUUGAUAAUUCACAAAAAGUACAAAUGACUCAUGGUAAUAUUAAAUGUAAGGAGCCUAUAUAACAAAAUGGGGGAACUAGAGGCAACAGCAUACACUAAACAAUAUGAUAUAAUAGGCAUAACAGAAACAUGAUGGGAUGAGACACAUGACUGGGCAGUUAACUUAAAUGGGUACACGUUAUUUAGGAAGGAUAGGAAAAACAAGAAGGGUGGUGGGGUAUGUUUGUAUGUCAACCAUGAGUUAAAGUUAAAUCUUGUGUCAAAUCUAUAUGUCCUCUAUAUAUCCUCCAUAUAACCUCUAUAUAUCUUCUAUAUAACCUCUAUGUAACGGAUCCUCCUGUUUUUUCUUUCGUUGAAUCUGUAAUAUUGUGCAAGCCAUUAGUUUAAAAACUUUCGUUUAAAUUGACUUAAUGGAUGCUAGAAUAAAGGCUGUUCGAAUCACAGAUUUUUCGCCGAACAGCCGACCACCCAGUAUAGAACUAUGGCUCUCAUUUACCCCCCUGACCCCAAUAACACCUUGAAAACCACGAACACUCCAUCAGUUUUAUUGUUAUACCGGGUGGUCGGCGUUCGUCUGCAUGAACACGUGGCGGCGGCCAUUUUGUUUAGUCAAAUGCACUCAGCGGUGUUUGGUCGUCGAACGCGUGGAACUAUUUUUCGGCUCCUCUUUUCCACAAACACCGCUGAAUCUUCCAUCCUCCGUGUGUUCUGCUAAAUUCAUACGAACAGAGCGCUCUUUCGCCAAAAUAAACUCACGAACAAGCCGCAUCUAAAGAGAGUAAGCACGAACUGAUCCAUUCAUGCAAUUUUAACUUUAUUCGAAUGGAAAUGUACACCGACCGCACAGCCUGAACCUGUGGAACUGUUUUGGGCAUGCGAACAGGUGUGCGGUCUGUCCAAAGAGACUUUUUACUAUCUCCUGAACCCCUGAACAGAUUUACGUGAAUUUUGGAUAUGUUUGUCCCCAAGUUACGCUGUUUAUAAAAAUAUAAGUUUUGUGCCUAUUAUGUGAAAAAUUGUGACGUUAUAAAAAGUAUGAUUUUUCAGCUUGGAGAUAAUUGAGUAGAUACAGUAAGUAACUCAAUUAUUUCCCAAGCAGAGGGGUGGGAAUAUGUGGGAUGUAACCAUUGUUUGAUUGGUCAAUGUAUAAUUGUCUAUGGGCGUCUCCCUUGCAUGGGAGCACUGCAUAAAAGGAGAGUACCUGCCAUUAAACCUUCAGUUCUUCUUCACCCUCAAUCUAGAAUCUUGUCUCUUAUUGGGGGUAACCGCUAUACAGCUCUUCACACUAGCUCUUGUAAGAGCUUCUUCAUUUG